rnacentral:rRNA from 1 species
GUGAUGCAGAGUAAAACUCAAAAAACGGUACUCAGUUCGGAUUGAAGGCUGAAAUUCGCCUUCAUGAAGCUGGAAUUGCUAGUAAUGGCAGGUCAGCAUACUGCCGUGAAUACGUUCCCGGGCCUUGUACACACCGCCCGUCACACCAUGAGAGUUAGGAAUACCCGAAGCCUGUGAGCUAACUUUUAGAGGCAGCAGUCGAAGGUAGAACUAAUGAUUGGGGUGAAGUCGUAACAAGGUAAC